UACGUAGGAGGCAAGCGUUGUCCGGAAUUACUGGGUGUAAAGCGCGUGUCGGUGGUGGGCCAAGUCUGUGGUGAAAUCGCCCGGCUCAACUGGGCGGGGUCCGUGGAAACUGGUCGACUGGAGGACGGUAGAGGCGAGUGGAAUUCCCGGUGUAGUGGUGAAAUGCGUAGAGAUCGGGAGGAACACCAGUGGCGAAGGCGGCUCGCUGGGCCGGUCCUGACACUGAGACGCGAAGGCGUGGGGAGCGAACGGG
rnacentral:rRNA from 1 species